rnacentral:rRNA from 1 species
AGUGAACGCUGGCGGUAGGCCUAACACAUGCAAGUCGAACGGCAGCACAGUAAGAGCUUGCUCUUACGGGUGGCGAGUGGCGGACGGGUGAGGAAUACAUCGGAAUCUACUUUUUCGUGGGGGAUAACGUAGGGAAACUUACGCUAAUACCGCAUACGACCUACGGGUGAAAGCAGGGGAUCUUCGGACCUUGCGCGAUUGAAUGAGCCGAUGUCGGAUUAGCUAGUUGGCGGGGUAAAGGCCCACCAAGGCGACGAUCCGUAGCUGGUCUGAGAGGAUGAUCAGCCAAACUGGAACUGAGACACGGUCCAGACUCCUACGGGAGGCAGCAGUGGGGAAUAUUGGACAAUGGCGCAAGCCUGAUCCAGCCAUACCGCGUGGGUGAAGAAGGCCUUCGGGUUGUAAAGCCCUUUUGUUGGGAAAGAAAAGCAGCAGGUUAAUACCCCGCUGUUCUGACGGUACCCAAAGAAUAAGCACCGGCUAACUUCGUG